UAGGGAAUAUUUCUUAAUGGGCGAAAGCCUGAAGCAGCAACGCCGCGUGGACGAAGAGGGCCUUCGGGUUGUAAAGUUCUUUUAUAUGGGAUGAGGAAGGACAGUACCAUAUGAAUAAGUCUCGGCUAACUACGUGCCAGCAGCCGCGGUAACACGUAGGAGGCAAACGUUAUCCGGAUUUACUGGGCGUAAAGAGCGUGUAGGAGGCAAUACAAGUUGGAUGUAAAAGCUCUCGGCUAAACUGAGAGAGGACGUUCAAGACUGUAGAGCUAGAGGAAGGCAGAGGUAGAUGGAACUCCGGGAGUAGUGGUGAAAUGCGUAGAUAUCCGGAAGAACACCAGAGGCGAAAGCGAUCUACUGGACCUUAACUGACACUGAGACGCGAAAGCCAGGGUAGCAAACG
rnacentral:rRNA from 1 species